UACGUAGGGGGCAAGCGUUGUCCGGAAUCAUUGGGCGUAAAGAGCGCGUAGGCGGUCCGGUAAGUCCGCUCUGAAAGUCCAGGGCUCAACCCUGGAAAGCGGGUGGAUACUGCCGGGCUAGAAUCCGGAAGAGGCGAGUGGAAUUCCUGGUGUAGCGGUGGAAUGCGCAGAUAUCAGGAGGAACACCAAUAGCGAAGGCAGCUCGCUGGGACGGUAUUGACGCUGAGGCGCGAAAGCGUGGGGAGCUAACAGG
rnacentral:rRNA from 1 species